rnacentral:rRNA from 1 species
AGUGAACGCUGGCGGUAGGCCUAACACAUGCAAGUCGAACGGCAGCACAGUAAGAGCUUGCUCUUACGGGUGGCGAGUGGCGGACGGGUGAGGAAUACAUCGGAAUCUACUUUUUCGUGGGGGAUAACGUAGGGAAACUGACGCUAAUACCGCAUACGACCUACGGGUGAAAGCAGGGGAUCUUCGGACCUUGCGCGAUUGAAUUAGCCGAUGUCGGAUUAGCUAGUUGGCGGGGUAAAGGCCCACCAAGGCGACGAUCCGUAGCUGGUCUGAGAGGAUGAUCAGCCACACUGGAACUGAGACACGGUCCAGACUCCUACGGGAGGCAGCAGUGGGGAAUAUUGGACAAUGGGCGCAAGCCUGAUCCAGCCACACCGCGUGAGUGAAGAAGGCCUUCGGGUUGUAAAGCCCUUUUGUUGGGAAAGAAAAGCAGCAGGUUAAUACCCCGCUGUUCUGACGGUACCCAAAGAAUAAGCACCGGCUAACUUCGUG